rnacentral:rRNA from 1 species
ACAUGCAAGUCGAGGGGCAGCAUGGUCUUAGCUUGCUAAGGCCGAUGGCGACCGGCGCACGGGUGAGUAACACGUAUCCAACCUGCCGUCUACUCUUGGACAGCCUUCUGAAAGGAAGAUUAAUACAAGAUGGCAUCAUGAGUCCACAUGUUCACAUGAUUAAAGGUAUUCCGGUAGACGAUGGGGAUGCGUUCCAUUAGAUAGUAGGCGGGGUAACGGCCCACCUAGUCUUCGAUGGAUAGGGGUUCUGAGAGGAAGGUCCCCCACAUUGGAACUGAGACACGGUCCAAACUCCUACGGGAGGCAGCGGUGAGGAAUAUUGGUCAAUGGGCGAGAGCCUGAACCAGCCAAGUAGCGUGAAGGAUGACUGCCCUAUGGGUUGUAAACUUCUUUUAUAAAGGAAUAAAGUCGGGUAUGCAUACCCGUUUGCAUGUACUUUAUGAAUAAGGAUCGGCUAACUCCGUGCCAGCAGCCGCGGUAAUACGGAGGAUCCGAGCGUUAUCCGGAUUUAUUGGGUUUAAAGGGAGCGUAGAUGGAUGUUUAAGUCAGUUGUGAAAGUUUGCGGCUCAACCGUAAAAUUGCAGUUGAUACUGGAUAUCUUGAGUGCAGUUGAGGCAGGCGGAAUUCGUGGUGUAGCGGUGAAAUGCUUAGAUAUCACGAAGAACUCCGAUUG